AUUGAACGCUGGCGGCAGGCCUAACACAUGCAAGUCGAACGAGUGGCGGACGGGUGAGUAAUGUCUGGGAAACUGCCUGAUGGAGGGGGAUAACUACUGGAAACGGUCGCUAAUACCGCAUACCAUCAGAUGUGCCCAGGUGGGAUUAGCGAGUGGGUGGGGUAACGGCUCACCAAGGCGACGAUCCCUAGCUGGUCUGAGAGGAUGACCGGCCACACUGGAACUGAGACACUGUCCAGACUCCUACGGGAGGCAGCAGUGGGGAAUAUUGCACAAUGGGCGAAAGCCUGAUGCAGCCAGGCCGCGGGUAGGAAGAAGGCCGUCGGGUUGUAAAGUACUUUAAGCGGGGAGGCGUUACCCGCAGAAGAAGCACCGGCUAACUCCGUGCCAGCAGCCGCGGUAAUUC
rnacentral:rRNA from 1 species